CCUACGGGUGGCAGCAGUGAGGAAUAUUGGUCAAUGGGCUUACGCCUGAACCAGCCAAGUCGCGUGAGGGAAGACUGCCCUAUGGGUUGUAAACCUCUUUUGUCAGGGAGCAACGCCGGCUACGUGUAGCCGGUCUGAGAGUACCUGAAGAAAAAGCAUCGGCUAACUCCGUGCCAGCAGCCGCGGUAAUACGGAGGAUGCGAGCGUUAUCCGGAUUUAUUGGGUUUAAAGGGUGCGUAGAUGGGUUGUUAAGUCAGUUGUGAAAGUUUGCGGCUCAACCGUAAAAUUGCAAUUGAUACUGGCAGCCUUGAGUACAGUUGAGGUAGGCGGAAUUCGUGGUGUAGCGGUGAAAUGCUUAGAUAUCACGAAGAACUCCGAUUGCGAAGGCAGCUUACUAAACUGCCACUGACAUUGAUGCUCGAAAGUGUGGGUAUCAAACAGGAUUAGAUACCCCUGUAGUC
rnacentral:rRNA from 1 species